rnacentral:lncRNA from 1 species
UUUACUUGUUAACCUACUACCACCUGUGACUCUUGUAAAAUUUAAUUGGAUGGGUCCAUUUUCAUACAUUAUUCAAACAUAUACAUCCACAGAUGAAUGGAAGUGAGAGAAAAAAGAGAAUGGCAAUGAUAGAAUUUGCAUGUCCAUGUAUUCUUUUUGCUCUGAGACUCCUGGGGCCUCCAUUAUUGUCCAUGGUCACCAUCCUUAUCCGUACAUGUUUCUCUUCUCUGGGAUCAACCAUUGCUACUUCCUCUCCUAAGCUCUAGACU